UAUGUGAUCGUCUCUCGCAUAUCAAUAAGCGGAGGAAAAGAAAAUAACAAUGAUUUCCCUAGUAACGGCGAGUGAAGAGGAAAGAGCUCAAAGUUGGAAACUGUUUGGCUUAGCUAAACCGUAUUGUAAACUGUAGAAACAUUUUCCUGGCACGCCGGAUUAAUAAGUCCUUUGGAACAAGGCAUCAUGGAGGGUGAGAAUCCCGUCUUUGAUCCGAGUAGUUGUCUUUUGUGAUAUGUUUUCAAAGAGUCAGGUUGUUUGGGAAUGCAGCCUAAAUUGGGUGGUAAAUUUCAUCUAAAGCUAAAUAUUGGCGAGAGACCGAUAGCGAACAAGUACCGUGAGGGAAAGAUGAAAGGAACUUUGAAAAGAGAGUUAAACAGUACGUGAAAUUGUCAAAAGGGAAGCGUUUGACACCAGUGUUGUUUUUCUGAAAAUCAAUUAAAGAACUGUUUAUGCUAAGUUGUUUAGACUUUAUCAGCUAACUGUUUAGUUUUGAGCUUUUCUUUAAUGCACUUUUCAGUUAACAAGUCAACAUCAAUUUCUUUUGCUGUAAAAAAGCUUGAGGAAGGUGGCUUGAGAUUCGUCUUAAGUGUUUAUAGCCUCUUGCCUAUGCAGUCGGAGAGAUUGAGGUCUGCAGCGUAGAUCCUUCGGGGCUAAAUGCAUUUGUGCUAAGUUAUAACAUUUUAUAGACAACUUGUUGACUAUGAUUUGUCUUGUAGCUUACUCGCUUAUGUUAUUUUACCUACGCUUAGGAUGUUGAAGUCAUCGUAUCGCGC
rnacentral:rRNA from 1 species